AAAACAAAACAAAACAACAAAACACAAAACAAGGACUGAGGAUAUUGCAACAUCACAGAAUGUAAAUGGGCUUGGCUUCCACACCAAUAUGCAAUUGCUAUAUUCUCUGUUGAUGGAUCUCUCUGUAUUUCUGUUUGUUCAGUCAUUAAAUAUUUUCUAUUGUAUGUUUGGCAUUAUGCUGGAAGCAGGUGAAGCAAGACAAAGAGAGUUCUGCUCUGAGGGAGGCAAAGGCAGAAAUAAAUCAGGUGCUAGAGUGGAUUUAGACCCACCCUUGAGCUUGUGGGUAGAAGCAUGGCUGACCUCUUGAGAGACCACAUUGACCUCCUGAGACAACCUCAAAGAUGCUUCUCAAAAGUCCUUUUGCUGCUGGAGAGUGAGAAUCGCCAAGGACUCGAUUCACACACUUGUGAAACUGCACCAUAGUUUCAGAAAAUAAGAUACUCAAAAGUGAAAUGUAGCCCUAACCAAAAAAAAAAAA
rnacentral:lncRNA from 1 species